CAGAGAGGCUCCGAUCACCUUAACAUCUCCCAUUUUGAAGUCUGCAAAUUCUGAAAUCGAAAGUUUUCAUUCUCUUGAAGCAUUGGUCUGAGCUUUAUAGAGGCGGGAUUUCGCUAAGCGUCACAUUUCUUGCAGAGAAAGUUAAAUGUAGUGACGUAUGUGAGGCUCGUGUCGAAGAAAAUUAAGCGCACGCGCACGAUUGCGCUAAGUUUCGAUAUAAGCAAAUACAUAGAUGACAACAAGACUCAAUCAAACAGUAAUCAGAUUCGGAAGUGAAGAGAUGGAGUGCGAAAUCAUGGUUUGUUGGCGGAUGAGGAACGGAUGUAACCGAUCAUAAAUCGGAGGUAGGGGACCAAUGCUUC